GGCGGGGUAGCUCAGUCGGUAGAGCAGGGGACUGAAAAUCCCUGUGUCGGCGGUUCGAUUCCGUCCCCCGCCA
rnacentral:tRNA from 1 species